CGCAUAAGCAACAUUUGUCACAGAGAGGAUGGCGUUCUGAACUCGGUAGUAAACCACACCGUCCACAAGAACCGUCACCGAAUCUUUGAGUAGAACAGCUGUCCCAGAAGUUUGAAUAAUGAAGCACGGUGACUUUUGGCAAUGCUUGAAGCUGGGAUAUGCAAGCAGUGGGGGCUGGUGCCCAGUAAGACUGGUGGGACAGAAUACAGGGAGCCCAACAGCAGCAGAGAAAUGCAGACAAAGGGAAGGUCACAAGGAAGAGCAAGAACGAAAAGCAGACCAGGAUCCAGCCACAUGCCCCAAGGUCGCUGCUGGAGUUCUCUAGAGGUCCAAGUAUGACCCUGGCUGUCAGCUUCCUUCUCUGUCUCAGUGUUGCCGAUUCAGCAGCAAUGAAGAGGGGGAUCGGGACAAAACUCACCGUGCAUUCAGACAUGGAUGUAGUGAUGGUAACCAUUUGGAUGGUUAAAAGACAGUAGACGACAAAUCCAUGGAGGCUUUCAGUGGCUAUCAGCAUGGACAUCUGGCUGGCCACUGUGAGAGCAAGAUGCCUGGAACAGAUGGCUUGGCCAAGGAGACUGUUCUUACAAAUUUUAAACUGCACGUUUCUCUGGGCAGGGACCUGUAUGGUGCUGUAUGACUAAUGCAGAGUAAUGUUCUGGUCUGGAGUAACCCUUGCCAUAUGGACAGCGGGUAAAAACAUCGAAUGCAACGGCAGAUUAAAUAAAGAUAUUUAUUUAUUAAAAUAACAA